CCUACGGGAGGCAGCAGUGGGGAAUAUUGCACAAUGGGCGCAAGCCUGAUGCAGCGACGCCGCGUGCGGGAUGAAGGCCUUAGGGUUGUAAACCGCUUUCAGCAGGGACGAAAUUGACGGUACCUGCAGAAGAAGCCCCGGCCAACUACGUGCCAGCAGCCGCGGUAAUACGUAGGGGGCGAGCGUUGUCCGGAUUUAUUGGGCGUAAAGAGCUCGUAGGCGGUCCGGUAAGUCGGAUGUGAAAUCUCCACGCUUAACGUGGAGGGGUCAUUCGAAACUGCCAUGGCUAGAGUUUGGUAGAGGAGUGCGGAACUCCCGGUGUAGCGGUGAAAUGCGCAGAUAUCGGGAAGAACACCCGCAGCGAAGGCGGCACUCUGGGCCAAUACUGACGCUGAGGAGCGAAAGCGUGGGGAGCAAACAGGAUUAGAUACCCUGGUAGUCCACGCCGUAAACGUUGGGCACUAGGUGUGGGGAUCGUAUCGACGGUCUCCGUGCCGUAGCUAACGCAUUAGUGCCCGCCUGGGGNGUACGCGCGAGACGAACACANAGAGUGUAGNGUUGAGAGUUGCGAGGCGACGACGAGGGAGGAGG
rnacentral:rRNA from 1 species